AUUGAACGCUGGCGGCAGGCCUAACACAUGCAAGUCGAACGAGUGGCGGACGGGUGAGUAAUGUCUGGGAAACUGCCUGAUGGAGGGGGAUAACUACUGGAAACGGUAGCUAAUACCGCAUACCAUCAGAUGUGCCCAGAUGGGAUUAGCUAGUUGGUGGGGUAACGGCUCACCAAGGCGACGAUCCCUAGCUGGUCUGAGAGGAUGACCAGCCACACUGGAACUGAGACAGGGUCCAGAAUCCUACGGGAGGAAGCAGUGGGGAAUAUGGAACAAUGGGCGAAGGCCUGAGGAAGCCAUGCCGGGUGUAUGAAGAAGGCCUUCGGGUUGUAAAGUACUUUCAGCGGGGAGGCGUUACCCGAAGAAGAAGCACCGGCUAACUCCGUGCCAGCAGCGCGGUAAUAC
rnacentral:rRNA from 1 species